rnacentral:rRNA from 1 species
UUAAGCGACUAAGCGUACACGGUGGAUGCCCUGGCAGUCAGAGGCGAUGAAGGACGUGCUAAUCUGCGAUAAGCGUCGGUAAGGUGAUAUGAACCGUUAUAACCGGCGAUUUCCGAAUGGGGAAACCCAGUGUGUUUCGACACACUAUCAUUAACUGAAUCCAUAGGUUAAUGAGGCGAACCGGGGGAACUGAAACAUCUAAGUACCCCGAGGAAAAGAAAUCAACCGAGAUUCCCCCAGUAGCGGCGAGCGAACGGGGAGCAGCCCAGAGCCUGAAUCAGUGUGUGUGUUAGUGGAAGCGUCUGGAAAGGCGUGCGAUACAGGGUGACAGCCCCGUACACAAAAAUGCACAUGCUGUGAGCUCGAUGAGUAGGGCGGGACACGUGGUAUCCUGUCUGAAUAUGGGGGGACCAUCCUCCAAGGCUAAAUACUCCUGACUGACCGAUAGUGAACCAGUACCGUGAGGGAAAGGCGAAAAGAACCCCGGCGAGGGGAGUGAAAAAGAACCUGAAACCGUGUACGUACAAGCAGUGGGAGCACNNNNNNNNNNNNNNGUGUGACUGCGUACCUUUUGUAUAAUGGGUCAGCGACUUAUAUUCUGUAGCAAGGUUAACCGAAUAGGGGAGCCGAAGGGAAACCGAGUCUUAACUGGGCGUUAAGUUGCAGGGUAUAGACCCGAAACCCGGUGAUCUAGCCAUGGGCAGGUUGAAGGUUGGGUAACACUAACUGGAGGACCGAACCGACUAAUGUUGAAAAAUUAGCGGAUGACUUGUGGCUGGGGGUGAAAGGCCAAUCAAACCGGGAGAUAGCUGGUUCUCCCCGAAAGCUAUUUAGGUAGCGCCUCGUGAAUUCAUCUCCGGGGGUAGAGCACUGUUUCGGCAAGGGGGUCAUCCCGACUUACCAACCCGAUGCAAACUGCGAAUACCGGAGAAUGUUAUCACGGGAGACACACGGCGGGUGCUAACGUCCGUCGUGAAGAGGGAAACAACCCAGACCGCCAGCUAAGGUCCCAAAGUCAUGGUUAAGUGGGAAACGAUGUGGGAAGGCCCAGACAGCCAGGAUGUUGGCUUAGAAGCAGCCAUCAUUUAAAGAAAGCGUAAUAGCUCACUGGUCGAGUCGGCCUGCGCGGAAGAUGUAACGGGGCUAAACCAUGCACCGAAGCUGCGGCAGCGACGCUGAUGCGUUGUUGGGUAGGGGAGCGUUCUGUAAGCCUGUGAAGGUGUGCUGUGAGGCAUGCUGGAGGUAUCAGAAGUGCGAAUGCUGACAUAAGUAACGAUAAAGCGGGUGAAAAGCCCGCUCGCCGGAAGACCAAGGGUUCCUGUCCAACGUUAAUCGGGGCAGGGUGAGUCGACCCCUAAGGCGAGGCCGAAAGGCGUAGUCGAUGGGAAACAGGUUAAUAUUCCUGUACUUGGUGUUACUGCGAAGGGGGGACGGAGAAGGCUAUGUUGGCCGGGCGACGGUUGUCCCGGUUUAAGCGUGUAGGCUGGUUUUCCAGGCAAAUCCGGAAAAUCAAGGCUGAGGCGUGAUGACGAGGCACUACGGUGCUGAAGCAACAAAUGCCCUGCUUCCAGGAAAAGCCUCUAAGCAUCAGGUAACAUCAAAUCGUACCCCAAACCGACACAGGUGGUCAGGUAGAGAAUACCAAGGCGCUUGAGAGAACUCGGGUGAAGGAACUAGGCAAAAUGGUGCCGUAACUUCGGGAGAAGGCACGCUGAUAUGUAGGUGAAGUCCCUCGCGGAUGGAGCUGAAAUCAGUCGAAGAUACCAGCUGGCUGCAACUGUUUAUUAAAAACACAGCACUGUGCAAACACGAAAGUGGACGUAUACGGUGUGACGCCUGCCCGGUGCCGGAAGGUUAAUUGAUGGGGUUAGCGCAAGCGAAGCUCUUGAUCGAAGCCCCGGUAAACGGCGGCCGUAACUAUAACGGUCCUAAGGUAGCGAAAUUCCUUGUCGGGUAAGUUCCGACCUGCACGAAUGGCGUAAUGAUGGCCAGGCUGUCUCCACCCGAGACUCAGUGAAAUUGAACUCGCUGUGAAGAUGCAGUGUACCCGCGGCAAGACGGAAAGACCCCGUGAACCUUUACUAUAGCUUGACACUGAACAUUGAGCCUUGAUGUGUAGGAUAGGUGGGAGGCUUUGAAGUGUGGACGCCAGUCUGCAUGGAGCCGACCUUGAAAUACCACCCUUUAAUGUUUGAUGUUCUAACGUNGACCCGUAAUCCGGGUUGCGGACAGUGUCUGGUGGGUAGUUUGACUGGGGCGGUCUCCUCCUAAAGAGUAACGGAGGAGCACGAAGGUUGGCUAAUCCUGGUCGGACAUCAGGAGGUUAGUGCAAUGGCAUAAGCCAGCUUGACUGCGAGCGUGACGGCGCGAGCAGGUGCGAAAGCAGGUCAUAGUGAUCCGGUGGUUCUGAAUGGAAGGGCCAUCGCUCAACGGAUAAAAGGUACUCCGGGGAUAACAGGCUGAUACCGCCCAAGAGUUCAUAUCGACGGCGGUGUUUGGCACCUCGAUGUCGGCUCAUCACAUCCUGGGGCUGAAGUAGGUCCCAAGGGUAUGGCUGUUCGCCAUUUAAAGUGGUACGCGAGCUGGGUUUAGAACGUCGUGAGACAGUUCGGUCCCUAUCUGCCGUGGGCGCUGGAGAACUGAGGGGGGCUGCUCCUAGUACGAGAGGACCGGAGUGGACGCAUCACUGGUGUUCGGGUUGUCAUGCCAAUGGCACUGCCCGGUAGCUAAAUGCGGAAGAGAUAAGUGCUGAAAGCAUCUAAGCACGAAACUUGCCCCGAGAUGAGUUCUCCCUGACUCCUUGAGAGUCCUGAAGGAACGUUGAAGACGACGACGUUGAUAGGCCGGGUGUGUAAGCGCAGCGAUGCGUUGAGCUAACCGGUACUAAUGAACCGUGAGGCUUAACCUU